CGGCUUCUGCUGCACGCUCGUGAUGCUUGUACAGAAGGCUAUACUUCGGUCACGAUCAAGUCGCCGGACACGGACGUAGCGGUUCUGGGUUGCGGACUGAGCCACCGCUUUCCUGACAGUAUGAAGCUCCUGUUUCUGCCUGGUUCUAGGAGCAAAGUCCUGCUCCUGAAUCUCUCAAAGAUUGGCUCUGCGCUAGGCACUUCCGUGUGUGACGCACUGAUCGGCAUGCAUGCCUUUACCGGGUGUGAUACGGUCAGUGCGUUCCACGGAAAGGGCAAGACCAGCGCUUAUCAGCUCCUGACCAGUGAUGGAAGCAAGGGAGACCUGGCACGAAGUUCAAUGGCCGAACUUGGCAAAGCCUUCAACCCGCUGUCAGCAGGCGCCAUGGCAGAAAUCGAGCGGUUUGUCUGCAUGCUGCAUGGCCGGCCAAACCAGUCAAGCGUUAACAGCUUACGGUACGAGUUGUUUUGCUUGCUGGAUAACGCCAAGGAUUCGAGCAGACUGCCCCCAUGCCACGAUGCUCUGCGUAAACACGCAGCAAGGGCCAACUUCCAGGCGGCUGUUUGGUGAGGUGCUCUAGAAGCCCAGCCCCCUAUCCCUGAAGCGUACGCUGGAAGCCAUGGUUGGCAGCUGUCCAAUGGCCAGCUGCGCAUUGAUUGGCUCUCGGUAGCUGCAGCACCACAAGCAAUCUUGGAAUUUGUGAAGUGUUCCUGCAAGACCGGCUGCCAAGGAAAUAGAUGCUCAUGCCGCAGCCAAUCCCUUCCCUGCACGGAUGUUUGUGGAUGCAGUAGCGAGUGUAGCAACCGCGAGGAGUCAGGUCAUCCCAUAAUUCAAGAAGAUGACGACACUGUCCAGUAGCCGUUGGAUUACUACACAUGCCUGGUCCAAGAUCUCCAUCACCACAGCUGUCAUCGUGUUGAGGCAUUGGUGUAACAUUUCUAUCUGUUUAACUGCCUACAGACUGUACUUGCCCUGGCAACCUGGUAGGCCCAUUCGAUCAUGCCACACACUCUUUCCACACUGUAUAUAUUUUUCAUGUUGAUAACAAUCACAGCAUAAUAUCUGUAAUGAGCCUAAGUGAACUGCAGUAGUCGUUGUCUUCCGUGAUGUUUCCUCUGAUACUGCUACUCUGGCUGGCUAUGUUAUGUGUAAUUCGAAGUACAUCAGACUCUAGGGUACAGUUUACGGAUUCUGGUUGCCAUGCGUUUAAGCAGCUCAAUCAAUGCUAAUACAUGGCCAAUCGAAACGGUCUGUCCUCUGCAUUGAUGAAACGGGGCGUAGUGGUGCACCCAUUGCAUGAAAGUCUUUC